AGUGAACGCUGGCGGUAGGCCUAACACAUGCAAGUCGAACGGCAGCACAGUAAGAGCUUGCUCUUACGGGUGGCGAGUGGCGGACGAGUGAGGAAUACAUCGGAAUCUACUUUUUCGUGGGGGAUAACGUAGGGAAACUUACGCUAAUACCGCAUACGACCUACGGGUGAAAGCAGGGGAUCUUCGGACCUUGCGCGAUUGAAUGAGCCGAUGUCGGAUUAGCUAGUUGGCGGGGUAAAGGCCCACCAAGGCGACGAUCCGUAGCUGGUCUGAGAGGAUGAUCAGCCACACUGGAACUGAGACACGGUCCAGACUCCUACGGGAGGCAGCAGUGGGGAAUAUUGGGCAAUGGGCGCAAGCCUGAUCCAGCCAUACCGCGUGGGUGAAGAAGGCCUUCGGGUUGUAAAGCCCUUUUGUUGGGAAAGAAAAGCGGCAGGUUAAUACCCCGCUGUUCUGACGGUACCCAAAGAAUAAGCACCGGCUAACUUCGUG
rnacentral:rRNA from 1 species